rnacentral:tRNA from 1 species
ACAUCGGUAGCACAGUGGUUAGUGCAGUCUGCCGGAAAGAGAAAGACGCGGGUUCAAUUCCCGUCCGAUGUC